GGGUUGUGAGGUUAAGCGACUAAGCGUACACGGUGGAUGCCCUGGCAGUCAGAGGCGAUGAAGGACGUGCUAAUCUGCGAUAAGCGUCGGUAAGGUGAUAUGAACCGUUAUAACCGGCGAUUUCCGAAUGGGGAAACCCAGUGUGAUUCGUCACACUAUCAUUACGUGAAUACAUAGCGUAAUGAAGCGAACCGGGGGAACUGAAACAUCUAAGUACCCCGAGGAAAAGAAAUCAACCGAGAUUCCCCCAGUAGCGGCGAGCGAACGGGGAGCAGCCCAGAGUCUGAAUCAGCUUGUGUGUUAGUGGAACGGUCUGGAAAGUCCGACGGUACAGGGUGAUAGUCCCGUACACCAAAAUGCACAGGUUGUGAACUCGAAGAGUAGGGCGGGACACGUGGUAUCCUGUCUGAAUAUGGGGGGACCAUCCUCCAAGGCUAAAUACUCCUGACUGACCGAUAGUGAACCAGUACCGUGAGGGAAAGGCGAAAAGAACCCCGGCGAGGGGAGUGAAAAAGAACCUGAAACCGUGUACGUACAAGCAGUGGGAGCAUCCUUUUGGGUGUGACUGCGUACCUUUUGUAUAAUGGGUCAGCGACUUAUAUUCUGUAGCAAGGUUAACCGUAUAGGGGAGCCGAAGGGAAACCGAGUCUUAACUGGGCGUUAAGUUGCAGGGUAUAGACCCGAAACCCGGUGAUCUAGCCAUGGGCAGGUUGAAGGUUGGGUAACACUAACUGGAGGACCGAACCGACUAAUGUUGAAAAAUUAGCGGAUGACUUGUGGCUGGGGGUGAAAGGCCAAUCAAACCGGGAGAUAGCUGGUUCUCCCCGAAAGCUAUUUAGGUAGCGCCUCGUGAACUCAUCUUCGGGGGUAGAGCACUGUUUCGGCUAGGGGGUCAUCCCGACUUACCAACCCGAUGCAAACUGCGAAUACCGAAGAAUGUUAUCACGGGAGACACACGGCGGGUGCUAACGUCCGUCGUGAAGAGGGAAACAACCCAGACCGCCAGCUAAGGUCCCAAAGUCAUGGUUAAGUGGGAAACGAUGUGGGAAGGCACAGACAGCCAGGAUGUUGGCUUAGAAGCAGCCAUCAUUUAAAGAAAGCGUAAUAGCUCACUGGUCGAGUCGGCCUGCGCGGAAGAUGUAACGGGGCUAAACCAUGCACCGAAGCUGCGGCAGCGACACUAUGUGUUGUUGGGUAGGGGAGCGUUCUGUAAGCCGUUGAAGGUGUAUCGUGAGGUAUGCUGGAGGUAUCAGAAGUGCGAAUGCUGACAUAAGUAACGAUAAUGCGGGUGAAAAACCCGCACGCCGGAAGACCAAGGGUUCCUGUCCAACGUUAAUCGGGGCAGGGUGAGUCGACCCCUAAGGCGAGGCCGAAAGGCGUAGUCGAUGGGAAACAGGUUAAUAUUCCUGUACUUGGUGUUACUGCGAAGGGGGGACGGAGAAGGCUAUGUUAGCCGGGCGACGGUUGUCCCGGUUUAAGCAUGUAGGCGGAGGUUCCAGGUAAAUCCGGUACCUUUUUAACGCUGAGGUGUGAUGACGAGGCACUACGGUGCUGAAGUAACAAAUGCCCUGCUUCCAGGAAAAGCCUCUAAGCAUCAGGUAACACGAAAUCGUACCCCAAACCGACACAGGUGGUCAGGUAGAGAAUACCAAGGCGCUUGAGAGAACUCGGGUGAAGGAACUAGGCAAAAUGGUGCCGUAACUUCGGGAGAAGGCACGCUGAUAUGUAGGUGAAGUGAUUUACUCAUGGAGCUGAAAUCAGUCGAAGAUACCAGCUGGCUGCAACUGUUUAUUAAAAACACAGCACUGUGCAAACACGAAAGUGGACGUAUACGGUGUGACGCCUGCCCGGUGCCGGAAGGUUAAUUGAUGGGGUUAUCCGUAAGGAGAAGCUCUUGAUCGAAGCCCCGGUAAACGGCGGCCGUAACUAUAACGGUCCUAAGGUAGCGAAAUUCCUUGUCGGGUAAGUUCCGACCUGCACGAAUGGCGUAAUGAUGGCCAGGCUGUCUCCACCCGAGACUCAGUGAAAUUGAACUCGCUGUGAAGAUGCAGUGUACCCGCGGCAAGACGGAAAGACCCCGUGAACCUUUACUAUAGCUUGACACUGAACACUGGUCCUUGAUGUGUAGGAUAGGUGGGAGGCUUUGAAGUGUGGACGCCAGUCUGCAUGGAGCCAUCCUUGAAAUACCACCCUUUAAUGGCUGGUGUUCUAACGUGGACCCGUAAUCCGGGUUGCGGACAGUGUCUGGUGGGUAGUUUGACUGGGGCGGUCUCCUCCUAAAGAGUAACGGAGGAGCACGAAGGUUAGCUAAUCCUGGUCGGACAUCAGGAGGUUAGUGCAAAGGCAUAAGCUAGCUUGACUGCGAGAGUGACGGCUCGAGCAGGUGCGAAAGCAGGUCUUAGUGAUCCGGUGGUUCUGAAUGGAAGGGCCAUCGCUCAACGGAUAAAAGGUACUCCGGGGAUAACAGGCUGAUACCGCCCAAGAGUUCAUAUCGACGGCGGUGUUUGGCACCUCGAUGUCGGCUCAUCACAUCCUGGGGCUGAAGUAGGUCCCAAGGGUAUGGCUGUUCGCCAUUUAAAGUGGUACGCGAGCUGGGUUUAGAACGUCGUGAGACAGUUCGGUCCCUAUCUGCCGUGGGCGCUGGAGAAUUGAGGGGGGCUGCUCCUAGUACGAGAGGACCGGAGUGGACGCAUCACUGGUGUUCGGGUUGUCAUGCCAAUGGCAUUGCCCGGUAGCUAAAUGCGGAAGAGAUAAGUGCUGAAAGCAUCUAAGCACGAAACUUGCCCCGAGAUGAGUUCUCCCUGAGACUUUAAGUCUCCUGAAGGAACGUUAAAGACGAUGACGUUGAUAGGUCGGGUGUGUAAGUGUAGCGAUACAUUGAGCUAACCGAUACUAAUGAACCGUGAGGCUUAACCUUACAACGCCGAAG
rnacentral:rRNA from 1 species